AUCCAGGUGACUGAGUGGUUAAAGUACCGGUUUUGAAAACCGUGGUUCCUGCGGGACGGGGGUUCAACUCCCCCCCUGGCUG
rnacentral:tRNA from 1 species